rnacentral:snRNA from 1 species
AUCACUUCUCGGCCUUUUGGCUAAGAUCAAGUGUAGUAUUAGGCAGUUGUGAUUUCAUAGGCAACAUUUAUUUCACUCCCC